CACCUCCCCCAGGACUGCUUUCUCUUCCUUGCUAAGCAAACCCCACCUCUUCCUCUUCAGCCUUUCUCAGGCACGCAACCUCCGCCGUCUCCGGAUCGUUCUCCCGCAUCCCUCCGCCGCCACUUCUCCUCCCCGUUCCUAGCCAAGCUCCGGCCCUCCGCCAUCCCCUCCUCCUUGACCGCCUCUCUACUCCUCUGAAGAUGGAACACGGGCCAGCUGCUACGCCUGAGCUGGCACAAGGUCAUCGGGCAGAGGAGGUCCAGCGCCGACGAGCCACUCACGCCCGUGUCUGAGGUCUCGGAGGCGCUGGAGUUGCCGGCCUUACUGAGAUGGGUCGGCGGGGAUGAUAGUGUUGGGGUCAGGAGGGAAAGGCCACCGACGAGGAUGGCGGCAUGGCAGCGGCUUGUUCGGUUAAUCCUCUCCCCAAGAGGAUUGGAGGGGAUUGGCAAGGAUUGGCUUGUAUUUUGACUUACAAGAGGUUUAAAUCCCCUUCAAACCCCUUCAAUCCACUCGGAUUCGCACCCAACCGAACAAGGCCUUAGGUGAAUUGGAAGAUGUUUUGACAUGUUAAAAUGGUGCAUCCUGUGCUAGUUGACUGGUCAAUCUUUUCAUUUGUUGGGAGCUGAAAGUUGUAUUUCCAAAUUAACAGAGGGUGAACCGUGGUUCUCAGGUGAUAUCAGAAUUAUCGAGUCCUGCCAAUCACAUGAGAUCACUGAUCUUAUUUUGGUGCAUGGUUAGCCUGAUGGUUUGAUUGUCUGUCAUCUAUCAUUAGGUACAACUGCAUACUUUGGUUUACUCAAUGUGGUAAAUGCCCAUGUCUGUUUUAUUCACGAUGAGCAGAUGCAGUAUACAACAUGAGACAACAUUCUUGGCGGCAGCUCGUGGUCCCGUUUUUUCGCAGGUAACACGACAUGAUGGUGUUCUACGGCCCAUUUGGCAUACUUUUUGUCUUCGCUUUCUUGGACGGUUAUUCAUUAGUCCAAUGCUUGACAUCAAUGUGGAUUCAUUUAGGUGUAGAUGUUGUAGGUUGCAGAUACUAAAUUUAGUCUAGGUGUAGAUGUUGCAGGUUGCAGAUACUAAAUUUAGGAUUCAUUUAGUAUCCAAUGCUUUCAUUUUCACACCGGUACUGAAUUAUUCUAUACUAAAUUUAGGAUUUAUUUUUCAGUUACACCAUGUAUUUGUUUUUUCACUUCCUGCCGGUGCUGAACUCUUUUGCUUGGCCAUGAGAAGGGCAGUGGGUGAAAAUGUUGGCUUAGAAAUUUAGAACAUCAUUGAAGUGGUCAGGGGUCUGGUCGUGUUAAGUAAACACUGUACAGAGUCAGUCUGGCACUCCUAUACAUCAAGAAUUAGCUGAACCUUUCAGCAGUAGCACAUUUAUGUAUAUGAAUUUGUGUUCGCAUAUGUUGAUCCUCUUUUAAUAUUGUAGGACCUGCCAAAUUUAGUUGCAAGUAAAGAUGCAGAUUUUUCAUAUGUUGAUGCUGUUUUUUGUUGCUUGGCACAUGUAACAACACAGGUUGGUAGCUUCAUCAUGCUUUUUCUGAGAUUUUUUUCUAUCAAUUGCUAAACUUAUGAAGGAAUCCAGUUAUAUGCUCAGCUCUCAAUUGGAAGAUAAGAUUUUGUAUCGAACACACUUAAGCAAUGUCUGAUGGCAAGUUUGUUAUCAAGAAAUUAUUAAAGGCUUAUCCCAACAACUGGAGAUUGUUGGUCCCUCUGCGGUAUGCUCUAUACAAACACAUGCUUUACCUAUGUUGGUAUCACCUCGGUUGCUAUUGAACAACCAAUCUUUCAGACUUACCAUGCUCGUAGGAUUUUCGAUUGCGUGACAUCAAUGAGUAUGCUGAGUGGUAUGGCACUAUGGCCAUGCUCAUAGGGCACUGAAACUUCAGGUGUUCUUGAGUACUAUACCCUACAGACUUGUUAAUAUACCAGCCAUUGGUUACACAAAUUUCGAAGUUACUCAGUUCUAAAGUUCCAGUUUACUGAGAUGUUUCAUCAAUUUCUUUGUACAUUACCUUUGGAGCUUGGAUUAGAUUCCUGUGUAGCCUAUGAUGUCUUCUAGUCCUCUUGUGUCAUUAUGUUUGUUUGUUGUGAACUCAUAAGAGGUUGUAUAUGGUUUGACGGAGGUUCUUCGAGAUGAAAUAAGAGAUGUGCGGCUUGUUGCCAACCCCCGCAUCUAUUCAGCUCCCUCUUGUUGCUCUAAUUAAGGUGAAAAUUAAUAAAAGUUCUUAGUCUUCCCAGAUCAAAGCAACAAGCAUUUAGACUCAAUAGCCCUUACUUGUGAACCAUCUGUUUUUGUUUUUGUAAUAUCUUUUUUAUUCUAUCCAAAAAGAGGUUGUUAUUCAUGUUAUUAUUAUUUAUUAACCUGCAUUCGAUGGUUAUGCAGUAAGACAGUAACAUGCUUCUGUGAGCAAACGUUGAUGUUUAGAUCAUGUACAACAGUGCAUGUAAAUAUCAUUUCUUUUAUUUAGAAUUCCACACACCCAAUUCAUAUGAGAGUAUCUUGAGAAGAUCAGUUCUGCCACUGCUGCUGUUGUAGAAUGAAUUGGAUGAGCUCUUCCUUUAGUUGCUGCUACUUUUAGCCCUUAUUUCCUUGAGAACAUCUUCAAAGUAUAGAUAAGAAAAUUACGUGGCUAUAGAAGGAUAUAUGUCAUUCAAUAAAACACCAAAGAAAAAUAACUUUGAAAUCUAUAUAUUUUAUUGACUGUGCACCUAUUCCAUCUACUAAAUAACUUCUGUGAGGUAAUCCUGAUCAGAAGUUUUAUACAACUUCUCUUCUUUGAAGCUUCUUUUCAUUCCCGUGCUCUCCUCUUUUAUAUGAAUUAUGUAGGUGGACCUGUUAGGCCAUAAUAUUACCAUGUGCUAAGAUUUUGUUCCUCUGUGUUGGAUUUGGUUACAAAAUCAAGGGAUAGAAAAUAUGAAUAUUCGUGUGCUGCCCACCAAUGGAACAUUUUGUUUUUUUACUGUGACUAUUCUGUAUUUUGUUUGCUUCGUCCAACAACGACGUUGACUGGACAAGAGGUAGGUUUUCCCUUUGUGUUUAGAUUCUUAUGUCUUUCCAGAUGCUCUAUUUUCAACCAAUUGAAUGAUUAUAUUAGCCCUGCAGUUGUAAUCAAUCCCCGGGAAACGAGCAACUAGAGCAAUCAAUAAUUCGUGACUACGUCUGCUUCAUGCUCUACAGGGAGUCGGAUGGCUGUCCUAAACAGAGGGUCGGUGUUGCACGAGCUGAAGCUGCGAACACCUUCAUAUCCUGAUCAUCUGAAAAUCUUUCUUAGUUGCUACAGUACUCUAUUUCAUGAGGUUCCAUAUUGAUUGAUAUUCAGCACCAAUCUGCAAAGAACCAAUAGGUGACACAUCCUGAGUCCUUCGCCGUGGCGUGGACAAGACGCCCUGCCGGAGCAGGGUGUGGAUGAGUUGGUGGCUCCGGUCACGCACACCGGCUGGUACUGCUCCGGCGAGCCACCGCUGCCGUUGCCUGUCUCAAUCUCGCUUGGCAUCAACUUUAGGCGAGGGUGCUGAACGCAGAGAAGGGAAGAAAAAACUAUGGGCGCUCUUACUAGAGCUGUAAUUAUGCACAUCCGAAAAGAAGCUAAGCUGCAGUGUGUCUGUACUGUGCUACAGACGAGAUUCGUUUGUAUUGCCUGUCAUGCAUUUCUCUUUACUUUUCACAUGAAGUAGCAACAUAAUAUGUUGAUGAAAGA